CCUACGGGAGGCAGCAGUGAGGAAUUUUGCGCAAUGGCCGCAAGGCUGACGCAGCAACGCCGCGUGGGUGAAGAAGGCCUUCGGGUCGUAAAGCCCUGUCAGGUGGGAAGAAUGGUCGGGGGAUGAAUAAGCCUUCGGCGUGACGGUACCACCAGAGGAAGCACCGGCUAACUCCGUGCCAGCAGCCGCGGUAAUACGGAGGGUGCAAGCGUUAUUCGGAAUUACUGGGCGUAAAGCGCGUGCAGGCGGGCCUGCAAGUCUGAUGUGAAAGCCCCGGGCUUAACCUGGGAAGUGCAUUGGAAACUGCAGGUCUUGAGUGCUGGAGAGGAAGGGGGAAUUCCCGGUGUAGAGGUGAAAUUCGUAGAGAUCGGGAGGAAUACCAGUGGCGAAGGCGCCCUUCUGGACGGCAACUGACGCUGAGACGCGAAAGCGUGGGGAGCAAACAGGAUUAGAUACCCCUGUAGUC
rnacentral:rRNA from 1 species